rnacentral:lncRNA from 1 species
GACGUCACAAGGUAGCGCGUAACGGGGCCCGCUGGGGCAGACAACGCCGGGGUUACAGGCCGGCUCUGCGGGGAUUCUACGGAGGGUCGGGCCUCCUCCAGUAAGAAGCGUGGGCGAGUAGUGGUGUCGCCAGUGGCAACUGAAGGGAGUAAUGGAGAUAAAACAAAAGCGAAGGCGAAGUUAAAGCACUCCACGAGUUCCCUCGGAUUAAACGCCGGAGAGAGCGUGAAUUUGCCUCGGGGACGCCUCUCCAGGAGGCAGGGGACGGUUUUUGCACUUUCUUGCUAGGAACCCGAAGCCGCAAAGCUGAUGGCAUCCUUCUUCCCUGUCCAGGAAAGCGAAGCGACUGGUUUGGGAACAGAAUGCUCUGAUUUGGAGCUCCUCCCAUCCCAUUAAAGCCUGGAUGCUGUCUGUGAGCAACGGAAUGUCGGAUUGCACAUCCUAUUGUAAAAUGUACUUACUGCAGAUCAGAAUUUCAACAAGAGAGCAAAACUAACACAAUUUGUAAGAAGUGUGCUCAAAAUGUGAAGCAAUUUGGGACGCCCAAGCCUUGUCAGUACUGUAACAUAAUUGCAGCAUUUAUUGGUACCAAGUGUCAGCGUUGCACAAAUUCAGAAAAAAAGUAUGGACCACCUCAGACCUGUGAACAGUGCAAACAGCAAUGUGCUUUUGAUCGGAAGGAGGAAGGAAGAAGAAAGGUUGAUGGAAAGUUAUUAUGCUGGCUCUGUACUUUAUCGUACAAAAGAGUUUUACAGAAGACGAAAGAACAAAGGAAGAGCCUGGGAUCUUCACAUUCAAAUUCAUCUUCUUCAUCUCUUACUGAGAAAGACCAGCAUCAUCCAAAACAUCAUCACCACCAUCAUCACCAUCACCAUCGUCACAGCAGUAGCCAUCACAAAAUCAGCAAUCUAAGUCCAGAAGAAGAGCAGGGACUGUGGAAACAGAGCCAUAAAUCCUCUGCAACAAUUCAGAAUGAAACUCCAAAGAAAAAGCCCAAAUUGGAAUCUAAGCCAUCUAAUGGAGAUAGGUAAAAAUGAAUUCUUUUAGUGUUAUGAAAAUUCAACUUAGUUGAAUAGUUAUGGUUGAAUGCCAGUUAUUACUAGAUAAAAAAAUAGAAACAUGUAUUUUCUACAUUGACUUGAGUC